rnacentral:rRNA from 1 species
CGGCCUAUCAGCUUGUUGGUGGGGUGAUGGCCUACCAAGGCGGUGACGGGUAGCCGGCCUGAGAGGGUGGACGGUCACACUGGGACUGAGACACGGCCCAGACUCCUACGGGAGGCAGCAGUGGGGAAUAUUGCACAAUGGGCGCAAGCCUGAUGCAGCGACGCCGCGUGAGGGAUGGAGGCCUUCGGGUUGUAAACCUCUUUCGCCAGUGAAGCAGGCCUGUCCCUUUUGUGGGUGGGUUGACGGUAGCUGGAUAAGAAGCGCCGGCUAACUACGUGCCAGCAGCCGCGGUAAUACGUAGGGCGCGAGCGUUGUCCGGAAUUAUUGGGCGUAAAGAGCUCGUAGGCGGCUGGUCGCGUCUGUCGUGAAAUCCUCUGGCUUAACUGGGGGCUUGCGGUGGGUACGGGCCGGCUUGAGUGCGGUAGGGGAGACUGGAACUCCUGGUGUAGCGGUGGAAUGCGCAGAUAUCAGGAAGAACACCGGUGGCGAAGGCGGGUCUCUGGGCCGUUACUGACGCUGAGGGGCGAAAGCGUGGGGAGCGAACAGGAUUAGAUACCCUGGUAGUCCACGCCGUAAACGUUGGGCACUAGGUGUGGGGGGCCUUUUCCGGGUCUUCCGCGCCGUAGCUAACGCAUUAAGUGCCCCGCCUGGGGAGUACGG